CCAGGAGACAGCAUUUAUCCGUGGUGACACUGGUUCACAGGAUUCACAUCCAAAGGCUGAGCACAGCAGAGCGAGCAUCCUUACAUGGCCUUCCUGGGUGCCCAGCACAGCUCGGUACAACUCCUGGGGCCUGCAGUCUGACUACUAGUAAUAAUUUUGGCCAAGUUGGGACCAGAAGUAAACACCCAUUUGGGAUGUCAGCCACUAGGAGGAAGUUGACCCAGGAUGGAGGAAAGCAGCUGAGAGACCCAGACAUUUGCUGAAGUCAUUUUAACUCCAAGAACUUCUCCUCCCACUCCAACCGGCGUCAUCUGGUUUUUACCUCUAUUUGGUGCAACAGAGAAAUGAGUGUUGAACUUUGUUUUGGACUCUUAAGAAACCAGAUCAGGAGUUUUCUGAGCCACUGCACUUCUGUUGAACCUUCUGGCCUAUUGCGUCAUUUCCAGGACAGGCCUUGGCAGUGUGGCAGCUAUAUUAAACCAAUUUUGAGUUCCUCUGAACCAUGUAGGCGUCUGCUAUGUAACAGUAAUGGAGUUCUGUUGAGCCACACGCCUUCUGACAAAUCAUUAGCAACAGAAAAGGUCGAAGAUCCGAAUUGUCUGCUGCAUACCAAGCCUGGAGGCCAUUACAUCAAGUGCAAGAGGAGGCUUCACGAAGGACUCGCCAUGUCAUGGACAGAGAGAUUCAGCAUUACCUCUUAUUGGAACUCUAAUCUCAGACUCUCUCCCCAGUUCUUCUCUUUCUCCUGUUGACUAUCUUCUGCAUGUUUGUAAAGUUACCCAGAGCUGUGCGUUCAUGUCCUAGUAGUUCAAUAAAUGGCAAAUUUCCACAUA
rnacentral:lncRNA from 1 species